rfam:Ciona savignyi cont_7287, whole genome shotgun sequence.
GGGGGUGUAGCUCAGAUGGUAGAGCGCGCACUUAGCAUGCGCGAGGUACCGGGAUCGAUACCCGGCACCUCCA